rnacentral:rRNA from 1 species
AGUGAACGCUGGCGGCAGGCCUAACACAUGCAAGUCGAGCGGCAGCGCGUCCGACCACCCUCGGGUGGUCGGAUGGCGGCGAGCGGCGGACGGGUGAGGAAUGCAUCGGAAUCUGCCUCGUUGUGGGGGAUAACGUAGGGAAACUUACGCUAAUACCGCAUACGACCUACGGGUGAAAGUGGGGGACCUUCGGGCCUCACGCGAUGAGAUGAGCCGAUGCCGGAUUAGCUAGUUGGCGGGGUAAAGGCCCACCAAGGCGACGAUCCGUAGCUGGUCUGAGAGGAUGAUCAGCCACACUGGAACUGAGACACGGUCCAGACUCCUACGGGAGGCAGCAGUUGGGGAAUAUUGGACAAUGGGGGCAACCCUGAUCCAGCCAUGCCGCGUGAGUGAAGAAGGCCUCGGUUGUAAGCNCUUUCGCCGGGAGAAUACGCACAGGUUAAUA